GCCUGUAGAUGAGCUUGCGUCCGAUUAGCUAGAUGGAGUGGUAACGGCACACCAUGGCGACGAUCGGUAACUGGUCUGAGAGGAUGACCAGUCACACUGGAACUGAGACACGGUCCAGACUCCUACGGGAGGCAGCAGUGGGGAAUUUUCCGCAAUGGGCGAAAGCCUGACGGAGCAAUACCGCGUGAGGGACGAAGGCCUGUGGAUUGUAAACCUCUUUUGUUAGGGAAGAUAAUGACGGUACCUAACGAAUAAGCAUCGGCUAACUCCGUGCCAGCAGCCGCGGUAAGACGGAGGAUGCAAGCGUUAUCCGGAAUUAUUGGGCGUAAAGCGUACGUAGGCGGUUUUAUAAGUCUGUUGUCAAAGCCCGAGGCUUAACCUUGGAAAGGCAAUGGAAACUGUAAGACUAGAGAGAGAUAGGGGCAGGAGGAAUUCCAGGUGUAGCGGUGAAAUGCGUAGAUAUCUGGAAGAACACCAGUGGCGAAAGCGUCCUGCUGGAUCUCAACUGACGCUGAAGUACGAAAGCUAGGGGAGCGAAUGGGAUUAGAU
rnacentral:rRNA from 1 species